UACGGAGGGUGCAAGCGUUAUCCGGAUUUAUUGGGUUUAAAGGGUCCGUAGGCGGAUCUGUAAGUCAGUGGUGAAAUCUCAUAGCUUAACUAUGAAACUGCCAUUGAUACUGCAGGUCUUUGAGUAAGGUAGAAGUAGCUGGAAUAAGUAGUGUAGCGGUGAAAUGCAUAGAUAUUACUUAGAACACCAAUUGCGAAGGCAGGUUACUAUGUCUUAACUGACGCUGAUGGACGAAAAGCGUGGGGGAGCGAACAGG
rnacentral:rRNA from 1 species